rnacentral:rRNA from 1 species
UAGUGGCGAACGGGUGAGUAACACGUGGGCAAUCUGCCCUUCACUCUGGGACAAGCCCUGGAAACGGGGUCUAAUACCGGAUAAUACCUGCCUGGGCAUCUGGGUGGGUUGAAAGCUCCGGCGGUGAAGGAUGAGCCCGCGGCCUAUCAGCUUGUUGGUGAGGUAGUGGCUCACCAAGGCGACGACGGGUAGCCGGCCUGAGAGGGCGACCGGCCACACUGGGACUGAGACACGGCCCAGACUCCUACGGGAGGCAGCAGUGGGGAAUAUUGCACAAUGGGCGAAAGCCUGAUGCAGCGACGCCGCGUGAGGGAUGACGGCCUUCGGGUUGUAAACCUCUUUCAGCAGGGAAGAAGCGAAAGUGACGGUACCUGCAGAAGAAGCGCCGGCUAACUACGUGCCAGCAGCCGCGGUAAUACGUAGGGCGCAAGCGUUGUCCGGAAUUAUUGGGCGUAAAGAGCUCGUAGGCGGCUUGUCACGUCGGGUGUGAAAGCCCGGGGCUUAACCCCGGGUCUGCAUUCGAUACGGGCUAGCUAGAGUGUGGNAGGGNAGAUCGGAAUUCCU